rnacentral:rRNA from 1 species
UAGGGAAUCUUCCGCAAUGGGCGAAAGCCUGACGGAGCAACGCCGCGUGAGUGAUGAAGGUCUUCGGAUCGUAAAACUCUGUUAUUAGGGAAGAACAAAUGUGUAAGUAACUAUGCAUGUCUUGACGGUACCUAAUCAGAAAGCCACGGCUAACUACGUGCCAGCAGCCGCGGUAAUACGUAGGUGGCAAGCGUUAUCCGGAAUUAUUGGGCGUAAAGCGCGCGUAGGCGGUUUUUUAAGUCUGAUGUGAAAGCCCACGGCUCAACCGUGGAGGGUAAUUGGAAACUGGAAAACUUGAGUGCAGAAGAGGAAAGUGGAAUUCCAUGUGUAGCGGUGAAAUGCGCAGAGUUAUGGAGGAACACCAGUGGCGAAGGCGACUUUCUGGUCUGUAUCUGACGCUGAUGUGCGAAAGCGUGGGGAUCAAACAGG